AAGCCAUGCAUGUCUAAGUAUAAACGAUUUAAUCGUGAAACCGCGAAUGGCUCAUUAUAACAGCUAUAAUUUACUUGAUCUUGACACAAUCCUACUUGGAUAACUGUGGUAAUUCUAGAGCUAAUACAUGCAUUAAAGCUCUGACCUCACGGGAAGAGUGCAUUUAUUAGAACAAAACCAAGCGGCUUCGGCUGUUUCUGGUUGACUCAUAGUAACUGAGCUGAUCGCAUGGUCUUGCACCGGCGACGUGUCUUUCAAGUAUCUGCCGUAUCAACUUUCGAUGGUAGUGUAUCUGACUACCAUGGUGAUCACGCGUAACGGAGAAUAAGGGUUCGGCUCCGGAGAGUUCGCCUGAGAAAUCGCGAACACAUCUAAGGAAGGCAGCAGGCGCGAAAAUUACCCACUCUCAGCACGAGGAGGUAGUGACGAAAAAUAACGAGACCGUUCUCUUAUGAGGCCGGUCAUCGGAAUGGGUACAAUUUAAACCCUUUAACGAGUAUCUAU
rnacentral:rRNA from 1 species